CAAGGUGCAAAAACACAACUCAGAAAAAGAGCAACCACAACUUAGUGGCAAUGACCAAUCUAUUCUGUUCUACAUACAUGUAGCUGGAUAUAUUGUGUAUAAAUUCUCUUUGUAAAAGAUUUUUUAGGUACAGUGUGCAUAAACUUGGUGUUAAUUUCAAACUUUACAAUCAAAUCAGAUAGUCAGAAUUUUGUUACCAAAUAUAGCAAAUGGCACGGUACAAUAUUCAAGACCGUGGUGGUCUCCAAAAGUCAUGUGACACUUUGUUUCUGCUAGUACGUGAGAUGGAACUGAUUGUUCGCAAAACUAGCAGCACAGUCUUAAGUGCAAAUUCUCUCUUAACUGAACCCUUGAUGGAAAAUAUUAUGAAGUUUCAUGAUCAAAUACUAUUGUAACAUUCUAAUGGCAAAUGAAGAGGGUUCAAUUGUUUGAGCCGUAACAAAAGACAUUAUCAAUUUAUUUCUAAGGAUACGUGGUGUUGCUGUUACCCGACUUAAGCGUAUAAUAAGACCAGCAUAUCUACCCAAAUGUCAUCCUUAAGUUUGAGACAGGCAUUGAAAGACAUAACCAAAAACAAAUACGAA
rnacentral:lncRNA from 1 species